rnacentral:rRNA from 1 species
UGCGUAGGCGGAAUAUUAAGUCAGUGGUGAAAUCUCUCGGCUCAACCGGGAAACUGCCAUUGAUACUGUUAGUCUUGAGUUCGGUUGAGGUAGGCGGAAUGUGUAAUGUAGCGGUGAAAUGCUUAGAUAUUACACAGAACACCAAUUGCGUAGGCAGCUUACUAGACCGACACUGACGCUGAGGCACGAAAGCGUGGGUAGCGAACAGGAUUAGAUACCCUGGUAGUCC